rnacentral:rRNA from 1 species
UACAGAGGGUGCAAGCGUUAAUCGGAAUUACUGGGCGUAAAGCGUGCGUAGACGGUAGCGUAAGUCGGGUGUGAAAGCCCGGGCUCAACCUGGGAAUUGCAUUCGAGACUGCUCUGCUAGGGUGCGGAAGAGGGAAGCGGAAUUUCCGGUGUAGCGGUGAAAUGCGUAGAUAUCGGAAGGAACACCAGUGGCGAAAGCGGCUUCCUGGUCCAGCACCGACGUUCAGGCACGAAAGCGUGGGGAGCGAACAGG